GUGAGGAAUAUUGGACAAUGGGCGCAAGCCUGAUCCAGCCAUGCCGCGUGCAGGAAGACGCAUCUAUGGUGUGUAAACUGCUUUUGUACGGGAAGAAACACUCCCUCGUGAGGGAGCUUGACGGUACCGUAAGAAUAAGGAUCGGCUAACUCCGUGCCAGCAGCCGCGGUAAUACGGAGGAUCCAAGCGUUAUCCGGAAUCAUUGGGUUUAAAGGGUCCGUAGGCGGGUUAAUAAGUCAGUGGUGAAAGCCCAUCGCUCAACGAUGGAACGGCCAUUGAUACUGUUAGACUUGAAUUACAAGGAAGUAACUAGAAUAUGUAGUGUAGCGGUGAAAUGCUUAGAUAUUACAUGGAAUACCAAUUGCGAAGGCAGGUUACUACUUGUGGAUUGACGCUGAUGGACGAAAGCGUGGGGAGCGAACAGGAUUAGAUACCCCGGUAGUCC
rnacentral:rRNA from 1 species